rnacentral:rRNA from 1 species
UGGGGAAUAUUGCACAAUGGAGGGAACUCUGAUGCAGCGACGCCGCGUGAGUGAUGAAGGAAUUCGUUUCGUAAAACUCUGUUCUAUGGGAAGAAAAGGACUGUACCAUAGGAGAAAGCUCCGGCUAAAUACGUGCCAGCAGCCGCGGUAAUACGUAUGGAGCGAGCGUUGUCCGGAAUUAUUGGGCGUAAAGGGUGCGCAGGCGGCUUUACAAGUUGGAUGUGAAAUAUUGUGGCUCAACCACAAACGUGCAUCCAAAACUGCAAAGCUUGAGUUAAGGAGAGGUAAGUGGAAUUCCUGGUGUAGCGGUGGAAUGCGUAGAUAUCAGGAGGAAUACCGGUGGCGAAGGCGACUUACUGGACUCAAACUGACGCUCAGGCACGAAAGCGUGGGGAGCAAACAGG